ACUGAGUUCGUUUGGUGGGUAGAAGUGUGUCCAAUUCUCUAGCACCAUUUGAAUUCAGUUC
rnacentral:pre_miRNA from 1 species